rnacentral:rRNA from 1 species
CUUUAUUGGAGAGUUUGAUCCUGGCUCAGGACGAACGCUGGCGGCGUGCCUAAUACAUGCAAGUCGAGCGGACAGAUGAGGAGCUUGCUCCUCUGAUGUUAGCGGCGGACGGGUGAGUAACACGUGGGCAACCUACCUGUAAGACGGGGAUAACUCCGGGAAACCGGAGCUAAUACCGGAUAAUAAAGAGAAACGCCUGUUUCUUUUUUGAAAGUCGGUUUCGGCUGACACUUACAGAUGGGCCCGCGGCGCAUUAGCU